UUGUCCUACGGGGCGCAGCAGUGAGGAAUAUUGGUCAAUGGCCGAGAGGCUGAACCAGCCAAGUCGCGUGAGGGAAGACGGCCCUACGGGUUGUAAACUUCUUUUAAGAGGGAAGAGCAGAAGACGGUACCUCUUGAAUAAGCCACGGCUAACUACGUGCCAGCAGCCGCGGUAAUACGUAGGUGGCAAGCGUUGUCCGGAUUUACUGGGUGUAAAGGGCGUGCAGCCGGGAAGACAAGUCAGAUGUGAAAUCCCGCGGCUCAACCGCGGAACUGCAUUUGAAACUGUUUUUCUUGAGUACCGGG
rnacentral:rRNA from 1 species